rnacentral:rRNA from 1 species
GAUGAACGCUGGCGGCGUGCCUAAUACAUGCAAGUCGAGCGAACGGACGAGAAGCUUGCUUUUCUGAUGUUAGCGGCUGACGGGUGAGUAACACGUGGAUAACCUACCUAUAAGACUGGGAUAACUUCGGGAAACCGGAGCUACUACCGGAUAAAAUUUUGAACCGCAUGGUUCAAAAGUUAAAGACGGUCUUGCUGUCACUUAUAGAUGGAUCCGCGUUGCAUUAGCUAGUUGGUAAGGUAACGGCUUACCAAGGCAACGAUGCAUAGCCGACCUGAGAGGGUGAUCGGCCACACUGGAACUGAGACACGGUCCAGACUCCUACGGGAGGCAGCAGUAGGGAAUCUUGCGCAAUGGGCGAAAGCCUGACGGAGCAACGCCGCGUGAGUGAUGAAGGUCUUCGGAUCGUAAAACUCUGUUAUUAGGGAAGAACAUAUGUGUAAGUAACUGUGCACAUCUUGACGGUACCUAAUCAGAAAGCCACGGCUAACUACGUG